rnacentral:lncRNA from 1 species
GUCUUGGCUAUGUUUUUUACUACCUAUCCAUAUAACGUUUGUUUUGUCUAAGUUAAUUUUCAGUCCUGAUAUCUCAGCAUAGAAUUGUAAUAUACGGAGAGAUGCAUCCAGCGAGGAAGGCGACCCAUCUAAAAAUAAGUGAUGUGUCGUCUGCAUAUUGAGACAAGAUAUACUCUGAAUCGUCUAUCGUAAUACCCUAUAUCUCAUCACUACCUCUUACUAAAAUG